AUGCUCUCUGUUCUCUCUGCUCUCUCGUCUCUCUGCUCUCUCUCUCUCUCUUUUCUCUGCUGCUCUCUCUCUUUUCUCUGCUCUCUCUGCUCUCUCUCUGCCCUCCCUGCUCUCUCUCUGCUCUUUCUGCUCUCUCUCUCUGCUCUCUCUCUGCUCUCUCUCUCUCUCUGCUCUCUGCUCUCUCUCAGCCUGCUCCCUGCUCUCUCUCUGCUCUCUCUGCUCUCUCUCUCUCUCUCUCUCUGCUCUCUCUCAGCCUGCUCCCUGCUCUCUCUCUGCUCUCUCUGCACUCUCUCUGCUCUCUGCUUUUCCUGCUCUCUAUGCUCUCUGUUCUCUCUGCUCUCUUGUCUCUCUGCUCUCUCUCUCUCUCUUUUCUCUGCUGCUCUCUCUCUUUUCUCUGCUCUCUCUGCUCUCUCUCUGCCCUCCCUGCUCUCUCUCUGCUCUUUCUGCUCUCUCUCUCUGCUCUCUCUCUGCUCUCUCUCUCUCUGCUCUCUGCUCUCUCUCAGCCUGCUCCCUGCUCUCUCUCUGCUCUUUCUGCUCUCUCUCUCUGCUCUCUGCUCUGCUGCUCUCUCUCUGCUCUCUCUCUCUCUGCUCUGCUGCUCUCUCUCUUUUCUCUGCUCUCUCUGCUCUCUCUCUCUGCUCUCUCUCUCUGCUCUCUCUCUGCUCUCUGCUCUCUCUCUGCUCUCUAAGCCUGCUCUCUGCUCUCUCAGCGUGCUCUCUGCUCUCUCUCUCUUCUCUCUCUCUGCUCUCUGCUCUGCUGCUCUCUCUCUGCUCUUUCUGCUCUCUCUCUCUGCUCUCUCUCUGCUCUCUUCUCACUCACUGCUCUCUGCUCUCUCUCUCUAUUCUCUCUCUCUGUUUUCUGCUCUCUCUCUCUGCUCUCUCAGCCUGCUCCCUCUCUCUGCGCUCUCUCUCCCUCUGCUCUCUCUGUUCUCUGCGCUCUCUCUCCCUCUGCUCUCUCUGUUCUCUGCUCUCUGCUCUCCCUCUGCUCUCUCUGCUCUCUGUUCUCUGCUCUCUCUGCUCUCUCUGCUCUCUCUCUCCCUCUGCUCUCUCUGCUCUCUCUCUCACUGCUCUCUCCCUCUGCUCUCUCUCUCUGCUUUCCCUGCACUCUCUCUCUCUGCUCUUUGCUUUCCCUGCUCUCUCUGCUCUCUCAGCCUGCUCUCUCUCUCUCUUCUCUCUGUUCUCUGCUCUCUCUGCUCUCUCAGCCUGCUCUCUGUUCUCUGCUCUCUCUGUUCUCUGCUCUCUCAGCCUGCUCCCUCUCUCUCUUCUCUCUCUUCUCUGCUCUCUCUGCUCUCUCUGCUCUCUCUGCUCUCUCUCUCUGCUCUCUCUGCUCUCUCUCUGUUCUCUGCUCUCUCGCUUUCUGCUCUCUCCCUCUCUGCUUUCGUGUCUUUGGUUAUGCCAGAUUAA
rnacentral:lncRNA from 1 species